AGCUUUGGGAAGAGUUCUUUCAGGAGGGGACUUUAUCUGAAGAGUGAUAAAGAAACAAGAGAACUGUGAGCAAUUUAUGAUUUCUGACCCAUCUUGCCACCUAAAAACAAUCUUGAAUUCUCCAUUCCUGGUAAACUCCAAAGCCAGGUUUACCAGCCACUAACUCUGGGUCACAAAUAAAAGUGCCAAAUCUGAGAUCACAGAAAACUCACUUUGAUCUAUUCAUCCCAUUGUACCUGAAUCUGAAGGUUUCAGCAGCAAACAAAAGACAUUUUAUGAUGGAGGCCUUUUUCCUAAUGGUUAGACUUUAAUACCCAAGUGUCCUCUGUACCACUUGCUAGCACG
rnacentral:lncRNA from 10 species